GUGCCAGCAGCCGCGGUAAUACAGAGACCUCGAGCAUUAUCCGGAUUCAUUGGGCGUAAAGGGUCCGCAGGUGGCCGUUCACGUCACGGGUUAAAUUUUAGGGCUCAACCCUGAAACCGCUCGUGAUACGGUUCGGCUCGAGCAUGGGAGAGGUACGCGGAAUUACCGGUGUAGUAGUAAAAUGCGUUCAUAUCGGUAAGAACACCAAAUGCGAAGGCAGCGUACUGGAACAUUGCUGACACUCAGGGACGAAAGCGUGGGGAGCGAAAGGGAUUAGAUACCCCUGUAGUCCACGCCCUAAACGAUGGAUGCUAGAUAUCGGGAGUAUCGACCCUCCCGGUGUCGGUUAAAAUAGCAAACGCAUUAAGCAUCCCGCCUGGGGAGUACGGUCGCAAGACUAAAACUCAAAGGAAUUGGCGG
rnacentral:rRNA from 1 species